GACGAACGCUGGCGGCGUGCUUAACACAUGCAAGUCGAACGAUGAAACCUAGCUUGCUAGGUCGAUUAGUGGCGAACGGGUGAGUAACACGUGACUAACCUGCCCCUUUCUCUGGGAUAACGCUCCGAAAGGAGUGCUAAUACCGGAUACUCACAUCGAGGCACAUGCCUUGGGGUGGAAAGUUUUUCGGAAAGGGAUGGAGUCGCGGCCUAUCAGCUUGUUGGUGAGGUAACGGCUCACAAAGGCGACGACGGGUAGCUCGGCCUGAGAGGGCGACCGGCCACACUGGGACUGAGAUACGGCCCAGACUCCUACGGGAGGCAGCAGUUAGGAAUAUUGCACAAUGGACGAAAGUCUGAUGCAGCGACGCCGCACGAAGGAAGACGGCCUUCGGGUUGUAAACUUCUUUUAACCGGGACGAUUAUGACGGUACCGGUUGAAUAAGUCACGGCUAACUACGUGCCAGCCGCCGCAGUAA
rnacentral:rRNA from 1 species